rnacentral:rRNA from 1 species
UGCCAGCAGCCGCGGUAAUACGAAGGGUGCUAGCGUUGUUCGGAAUUACUGGGCGUAAAGAGCAUGUAGGCGGAUGAAUUAGUCAGAGGUGAAAGCCCCGAGCUCAACUUGGGAACUGCCUUUGAUACUGUUUAUCUAGAGUCCGAGAGAGGUUAGUGGAAUUCCCAGUGUAGAGGUGAAAUUCGUAGAUAUUGGGAAGAACACCAGUGGCGAAGGCGACAACCUGGCUCGAUACUGACGCUGAGGCCCGAAAGCAUGGGGAGCAAACAGGAUUAGAUA